GACGAACGCUGGCGGCGUGCUUAACACAUGCAAGUCGAGCGGUAAGGCUCCUUCGGGAGUACACGAGCGGCGAACGGGUGAGUAACACGUGAGCAAUCUGCCCUUCACUUUGGGAUAACUUCGAGAAAUCGGAGCUAAUACCGAAUGCGACCACUUCAGGCAUCUGAUGGUGGUGGAAAGUUCCGGCGGUGAAGGAUGAGCUCGCGGCCUAUCAGCUUGUUGGUGGGGUAAUGGCCCACCAAGGCUUCGACGGGUAGCCGGCCUGAGAGGGUGACCGGCCACACUGGGACUGAGACACGGCCCAGACUCCUACGGGAGGCAGCAGUGGGGAAUAUUGCGCAAUGGGCGAAAGCCUGACGCAGCCACGCCGCGUGAGUGAUGAAGGCCUCGGGUUGUAAAGCUCUGUCGGGAGGGAAGACGGGAGAAAGUCCCAGACGGUACCUCGCAGAAAGCACCGGCUAACUCUGUGCCAGCAGCCGCGGUAAU
rnacentral:rRNA from 1 species